rnacentral:rRNA from 1 species
UACGGGGGGGGCAAGCGGUUGUUCGGAUUCAUUGGGCGUAAAGGGUGUGUAGGUGGCGCGCUAAGUCGGGUGUGAAAUUUCGGAGCUUAACUCCGAAACUGCAUUCGAUACUGGCGUGCUUGAGGACUGGAGAGGAGACUGGAAUUUACGGUGUAGCAGUGAAAUGCGUAGAUAUCUGGAAGAACACCGGUGGCGAAGGCGGUGGUCUGGGCCGUUACUGACGCUGAGGAGCGAAAGCCAGGGGAGCGAACGGG